rnacentral:lncRNA from 1 species
AAACACUGCUGUGCUUGGCUCUGAACGUCCCGAAGGCUUGCUUGUGCCAUGUGGUUUGGUCCUCAGCAACUGACAAUGCUGGAAGGUGAGGGAAGCUUUAGGAGCUGGGGUUUAUAGGGAAGUGUGGGUGGGUCUUAGAUCGUUGGGGAUGUGCCCUUGAAAAGGAUUAUAGGGCACUAAUAUCUCUCCCCUCCCCCUUCCCACAUGCAGUUUCCUCUGCAUCUUGUUCCUGCCACGAUGGGCUACAUCAUCACAGACCCAAAGCAACACACCCAACCGAGAUCCAAUCCCAUGCUACAGAGUAACAUCAGCACAGAAAGGUGCUCGUCUCUGGCAAGCAAAUCUCAUUUUGACUAGAGAUAGGUGUUGGGAUUCAACCUCCAAAGCAGCUAGAACCCUCUUUACUUUUAAAUUGAUUGUCACGAGCAUCUGGUCACAGUCUCCAAAAGCUGAGCAAUGCAACAAAGGUCCUUUAAUAGGCAACUGGUGGGGUUGGGGAUUUAGCUCAGUGGUAGAGCGCUUGCCUAGGAAGCACAAGACCCUGGGUUUGGUCCCCAGCUCUG